CCUACGGGUGGCAGCAGUGGGGAAUAUUGGGCAAUGGGCGCAAGCCUGACCCAGCAACGCCGCGUGAAGGAAGACGGCUUUCGGGUUGUAAACUUCUUUUUAGGGGGAAGUGCAGUAGUCGGUACCCCUUGUUUAAGCCAUGGCUAAAUACGUGCCAGCAGCCGCGGUCAUACGUAGGUGGCAGGCGUUGUCCGGAUUUACUGGGUGUAAAGGGCGUGCAGCCGGAGAGACAAGUCAGAUGUGAAAUCCACGGGCUCAACCGGUGAACUGCAUUUGAAACUGGUUCCCUUGAGUGUCGGAGAGGUGAGCGGAAUUCCUGGUGUAGCGGUGAAAUGCGUAGAUAUAAGGAAGAACACCGGUGGCGAAGGCGGAUUACUGGACUACAACUGACGGUGAGGCGCGAAAGCGUGGGUAGCAAACAGGAUUAGAUACCCUGGUAGUC
rnacentral:rRNA from 1 species